GUGGCAGACGGGUGAGUAACACGUGGGAACGUACCUUUCGGUUCGGAAUAAUCCAGGGAAACUUGGACUAAUACCGGCUACGCCCUUCGGGGGAAAGAUUUAUCGCCGAAAGAUCGGCCCGCGUCUGAUUAGCUAGUUGGUGAGGUAAAGGCUCACCAAGGCGACGAUCAGUAGCUGGUCUGAGAGGAUGAUCAGCCACAUUGGGACUGAGACACGGCCCAAACUCCUACGGGAGUCAGCAGUGGGGAAUAUUGGACAAUGGGCGAAAGCCUGAUCCAGCCAUGCCGCGUGAGUGAUGAAGGCCCUCGGGUUGUAAAGCACUUUUAUCAGGAACGAAAUACCACGGGUUAAUACCCCAUGGGCUGACGGUACCUGAGGAAUAAGCACCGGCUAACUUCGUGCCAGCAUCCGCGGUAAUACGAAGGGUGCAAGCGUUAAUCGGAAUUACUGGGCGUAAAGGGUGCGUAGGCGGUUCGUUAAGUCUGUCGUGAAAUCCCCGGGCUCAACCUGGGAAUGGCGAUGGAUACUGGCGAGCUAGAGUGUGUCAGAGGAUGGUGGAAUUUCCGGUGUAGCGGUGAAAUGCGUAGAGAUCGGAAGGAACAUCAGUGGCGAAGGCGGCCAUCUGGGACAACACUGACGCUGAAGCACGAAAGCGUGGGGAGCAAACAGGAUUAGAUACCCUGGUAGUCCACGCCCUAAACGAUGCGAACUGGAUGUUGGUCUCAACUCGGAGAUCAGUGUCGAAGCUAACGCGUUAAGUUCGCCGCCUGGGGAGUACGGUCGCAAGACUGAA
rnacentral:rRNA from 1 species